rnacentral:rRNA from 1 species
AAAUGAAUUGACGGGGACCCGCACAAGCGGUGGAGCAUGUGGUUUAAUUCGAAGCAACGCGAAGAACCUUACCAAAUCUUGACAUCCUCUGAUCGCCAUAGAGAUAUGGUUUCCCUUCGGGGCAGAGAGACAGGUGGUGCAUGGUUGUCGUCAGCUCGUGUCGUGAGAUGUUGGGUUAAGUCCCGCAACGAGCGCAACCCUUAAAUUUAGUUGCCAUCAUUCAGUUGGGCACUCUAGAUUGACUGCCGGUGACAAACCGGAGGAAGGUGGGGAUGACGUCAAAUCAUCAUGCCCCUUAUGAUUUGGGCUACACACGUGCUACAAUGGGCAGGUUACAAAGGGCAGCAAAGCCGCGAGGCCAAGCGAAUCCCAUAAAACUGUUCUCAGUUCGGAUUGGAGUCUGCAACUCGACUCCAUGAAGCUGGAAUCGCUAGUAAUCGUAGAUCAGCAUGCUACGGUGAAUACGUUCCCGGGUCUUGUACACACCGCCCGU